rnacentral:rRNA from 1 species
GAUGAAAGCUGACAGACUGCUUAACACAUGCAAGUCAACUGUGGCGGACGGGUGAGUAACGCGUAAAGAACUUGCCUCACAGAUAGGGACAACAUUUGGAAACGAAUGCUAAUACCUGAUACUGUGAGAGAGCUUGGCGUCCCAUUAGCUAGUUGGAGAGGUCACGGCUCACCAAGGCGAUGAUGGGUAGCCGGCCUGAGAGGGUGAUCGGCCACAAGGGGACUGAGACACGGCCCUUACUCCUACGGGAGGCAGAAGUGUGGAAUAUGGGACAAUGGACCAAAGUCUGAUCCAGCAAUUCUGUGUGCACGAUGAAGUUUUCGGAAUGUAAAGUGCUUUCAGUUGGGAAGCGGUACCAACAGAAGAAGUGACGGCUAAAUACGUGCCAGCAGCCGCGGUAAUAC